rfam:Sarcophilus harrisii ctg7180001666854, whole genome shotgun sequence.
GGCUUUUCCUCUCUCUUGACUCUAGUUGCCAGCAAAUAUUUCUUUAUUCCCCACAGCCUCCUCUUCCUUGAGCUAAAAUUUGGGAGAUUUAUGCGACCUUCAGUGGCUCAUUUUUGUGUUUCAACCCUGGCCCUUUUGUCUUCCCAUUCCACUCUCCUUUUUCGGGGUCUCAUUGAAAAAUUGCAGGAAGAGAGAAGAGACAGAAAAGAGAGAAGAGAUCUCGGAGCUUCAAGGGCAGAGCUGUUUUACAUACGGGUCAGACACGGCUAGAGGCCAAGGUCAAGUUGAAAGUUGCAGUCUAGCCAAUGUGAGACCUGUCAUUCAAAGCUUGAAACCCUGUCUGAUUUGUUCAAAGGCAGCAUCCCUGGA